GACGAACGCUGGCGGCGUGCUUAACACAUGCAAGUCGAACGGAAAGGCCCUGCUUUUGUGGGGUGCUCGAGUGGCGAACGGGUGAGUAACACGUGAGUAACCUGCCCUUGACUUUGGGAUAACUUCAGGAAACUGGGGCUAAUACCGGAUAGGAGCUCCUGCUGCAUGGUGGGGGUUGGAAAGUUUCGGCGGUUGGGGAUGGACUCGCGGCUUAUCAGCUUGUUGGAGGGGUAGUGGCUUACCAAGGCUUUGACGGGUAGCCGGCCUGAGAGGGUGGCCGGCCCCAUUGCGCCUGAGCUACGGCCCAGCCUCCUACGGGAGGCAGCAGUGGGGAAUAUUGCACAAUGGGCGGAAGCCUGAUGCAACAACGCCGCGUGCGGGAUGACGGCCUUCGGGUUGUAAACCGCUUUCGCCUGUGACGAAGCGUGAGUGACGGUAAUGGGUAAAGAAGCACCGGCUAACUACGUG
rnacentral:rRNA from 1 species